rnacentral:rRNA from 1 species
AGCAUGUGGUUUAAUCGAAGCAACGCGAAGAACCUUACCUGGGUUUGAACUGCAGUGGAAGACGCUAGAGAUGGCGUCGCCCCUUCGGGGCCGCUGUGGAGGUGCUGCAUGGCUGUCGUCAGCUCGUGUCGUGAGAUGUUGGGUUAAGUCCCGCAACGAGCGCAACCCUUGCUCAUAGUUGCCAGCGGUUCGGCCGGGCACUCUAUGGGGACUGCCGGUGAUAAACCGGAGGAAGGUGGGGAUGACGUCAAGUCCUCAUGGCCUUUAUGUCCAGGGCUACACACGUGCUACAAUGGACGGUACAAAGAGUUGCGAUCCCGCGAGGGGGAGCUAAUCUCAAAAAGCCGUUCUCAGUUCGGAUUACAGUCUGCAACUCGACUGUAUGAAGCUGGAAUCGCUAGUAAUCGCGGAUCAGCAUACCGCGGUGAAUACGUUCCCGGGCCUU